rnacentral:lncRNA from 1 species
GAAGUAAUGACCCCGCGUCACUGAAAUGCCAUGGAUGCUUGAAUGGAAACACCAGAAUGUUCUCUAGGAUCAUGGAGACUGGGAUACAAGAUGACUGAAGUGGAGGUGAAAAGACCUGGCAAAGGGAGUACCUGCAAUAACACAAGUGAGAGAAACACUGGAAACGUGGUUGGAGAGAAGCUGAAGUCAUGUGAGUUAUUCUAGGGGAGGACAUAUGAGGGAUUGGUAAUCUGUUGAUGUUGGAUAAAAGAGAGAAACUUGUAUCUGGACUGGUUCUCCUGAAUUUCUGAUUAAGGCAACAGUGUAUAAAGAGGUGACUAUUGAGAUAGGGAAGAAAAGAAGAGAAUUGAACAUUAGAAAACACUUCUGAUACAAUGAAAAAGAAAGUAUAGC